GGACAGAAAAAUAAAGAUGUUAAUUUAUGCGGUUGCGGCACAAUGGUUUAUCAACAUGAUAACAUUGGUUGUUCAAUCCAGAAAAAGAAAAAGAAGAGAAGCAAUUACGUAUGCCCCAAUUGAUGAGAGAGAUAGGAUGAGAAGAGGGUAUUUUGACAACAAAAUAUGGAAGAAUGACACAACUUGUGUGAACAUGCUUAGGCUUCGGAGAGAACCUUUCUUUAGGUUUUGUCAACUGUUUAGGGAUCGCAACUUGCUAAAUGACACAAUACACUUGACUGUUGAGCAACAACUAGCAAUGUUCCUGCACACCGUUGGGCACAACAUUAGAAAUAGGGUAAUUGGCGCCAAUUUUGGUAGAUCUGGUGAAGUCGUGAGCCAUUACUUCAAAAGGGUACUCCAUGCCAUUGGUGAGCUUCGAGAUGACCUUAUUAGGAAGCCUUCAUUGGAGACCCAAACCAAAAUAGAAGGAAACUAUCGGUGGGAUCCAUACUUUAAGGAUUGUAUUGGAGCUAUCGAUGGCACACAUGUGCGAGCCUCUGUUACACCAGAUAUGGAGGCUGCCUUUCGUGGUAGAAAGACUUAGGCAUGAUGCUUUAGAACGUGAGAAUGGUCUACGUGUCCCACAAGGAAAAUUUUAUCUAGUUGAUGCUGGAUAUGGAGCCAAACUGGGUUUUUUGCCUCCUUUUCGUGGCGUGAGGUAUCACUUGAAUGAGUGGGGAAACAACCCCGUGCAAAACGAGAAGGAGUUGUUCAACCUUAGGCAUUCUUCUCUUCGUGUGACCAUUGAACGUGCAUUUGGCUCAUUGAAGAGAAGAUUCAAGAUACUUGAUGAUGCCACCCCAUUCUUUCUAUUUCCAACACAAGUUGACAUUGUUGUGGCUUGUUGCAUUAUUCACAAUUGGGUAAUAAAUGAUGGGAUAGAUGAAUAUAUCAUACCCGAGGAAGAAUGGGUGCCAAAUAUUACUCAUGCUUCAUCAUCAAGUGGUCAAGCACAUGAACAUGCAUACAUGGCUAGUUUUAGGCAAGGACUUGCUGAUCAAAUGUGGGAAGACCGACAAAACCAUUUGCAAGGUCAAAAUAUGUAGUAACUACUAUGUCAUUUAGGUCGUUGUGUUGAACUAUUCUGUGUGCUGGAACUUAUUUGUAAGGACAUAUUAUUUGCUGAAAUUACUAUUUGUAAUACUAUUUAAGUUGCUGAAAUUACUUUCUCAAUGUCCAAACCCUUGCUGGAAAUUGUAGGAAAUGGCUAAGCAAGUUUCAUGGUCACCUAC